UACGAAGGGUGCAAACGUUGCUCGGAAUCAUUGGGCGUAAAGCGCACGUAGGCGGCUUUGCAAGUCGGAUGUGAAAUCCCUCGGCUCAACCAAGGAAGUGCAUCCGAAACUGCAGAGCUUGAGUACUUAAGAGGAUCGCGGAAUUCCCGGUGUAGAGGUGAAAUUCGUAGAUAUCGGGAGGAACACCAGUGGCGAAGGCGGCGAUCUGGGAAGAUACUGACGCUGAGGUGCGAAAAGCGUGGGGAGCAAACAGGG
rnacentral:rRNA from 1 species